CCUCUGCGCCCAACCGGCCGCCGCGCCCAGAGCCACG
rnacentral:ribozyme from 1 species